CCCGGGGGGAAGAGGGGCGCAAGGUUGAAACUUAAAAGAAUUGGCGGGGGCCCGCACAAGCGGUGGAACAUGUGGUUUAAUUCGAAGCAACGCGAAGAACCUUUCCAGGCUUUGGACAUUCCAGGGACUUUCCAGAGAUGGAUUGGUGCCUUUGGGAGCAUUGAAAACCGAAAAAUGCAUGGCUGUUGUCAGCUUGGGUUGUGAAAUGUUGGGUUAAGUCCCGUAACGAACGCCACCCUUGUCCUUAGUUUCCAGCACGUUAGGGUGGGCACUCUAAGGAGACUGCCGGUGACAAACCGGAGGAAGGUGGGGAUGACGUCAAGUCAUCAUGGCCCUUACGAGCUGGGCUACACACGUGCUACAAUGGUCGGUACAGAGGGUUGCCAAGCCGCGAGGUGGAGCUAAUCCUGACAAAACCGAUCGUAGUCCGGAUCGCAGUCUGCAACUCGACUGCGUGAAGUCGGAAUCGCUAGUAAUCCUCCCCCUUCUCCUGUCGCGGUGAAUACGUCCCGGGCAUGCACAACCCCCCCCUCUCUCCAUGGAGUUGGUUGCACCAGAAGUAUUUUAGUCUGACCAUAGGAAGGAACGGGAAGACAAGGUGGUGUAG
rnacentral:rRNA from 1 species